AGGGUUUGAUCAUGGCUCAGAACGUACGCUGGCGGCACGCCUAACACAUGCAAGUCGAACGCAGUAGCAAUACUGAGUGGCAAACGGGUGAGUAUAAUGUGGGAAUCUGCCUUUUGGUUUGGAAUAACACGGGGAAACUUGUGCUAAUACCGAAUAAGCCCUUACGGGGAAAGUUUUAACGCCGAAAGAUGAGCCCGCACUUGAUUAGCUAGUUGGUAAGGUAAAAGCUUACCAAGGCAACGAUCAAUAGCUGUUCUUAGAGGAAGACCAGCCACAUUGGGACUGAGACACGGCCCAGACUCCUACGGGAGGCAGCAGUGGGGAAUCUUGCACAAUGGGGGAAACCCUGAUGCAGCGAUGCCGCGUGAGUGAAGAAGGCCUUUGGGUUGUAAAACUCUUUCGUCGGGGAAGAAAAUGACUGUACCCGAAUAAGAAGGUCCGGCUAACUUCGUGCCAGCAGCCGCGGUAAUACGAAGGGACCUAGCGUAGUUCGGAAUUACUGGGCUUAAAGAGCUCGUAGGUGGUUAAAAAAGUUGAUGGUGAAAUCCCAAGGCUCAACCUUGGAACUGCCAUCAAAACUUUUUAGCUAGAGUGUGAUAGAGGUAAGUGGAAUUUCUAGUGUAGAGGUGAAAUUCGUAGAUAUUAGAAAGAACACCAAAUGCGAAGGCAACUUACUGGGUCAUCACUGACACUGAGGAGCGAAAGCAUGGGUAGCGAAGAGGAUUAGAUACCCUCGUAGUCCAUGCCGUAAACGAUGAGUGCUAGACGUUGGAAAUAU
rnacentral:rRNA from 1 species